AUGGCGCCUCUCAGAACAACUGUGUUGUUGUGGAGCCUCUUGAGGAGUUCUCCGGGCGUGGAAAGAGUGUGUUUCCGGGCUCGAAUCCAGCUCUGGCACGGUGGCCUGCUCCAACCGCUACCUUGCUCUUUCGAGAUGGGGCUGCCACGCCGCCGGUUCAGCUCUGAGGCUGCAGAAUGUGGUAGCCCAGAGACCAAGAAACCUACAUUUAUGGAUGAGGAAGUUCAAAGCUUACUCACGAAAAUGACAGGCUUGAACUUGCAGAAGACUUUUAAGCCAGCUAUAUAAGAACUGAAGCCACCAACCUAUAAGCUAAUGACUCAGGCACAGUUGGAAGAGGCUACAAGACAGGCAGUUGAGGCAGCUAAAGUAAGAUUAAAAAUGCCACCAGUUCUGGAAGAGCGAGUACCAAUAAAUGAUGUGUUAGCUGAAGAUAAGAUUUUGGAAGGAACAGAAACAACCAAAUAUGUGUUUACUGAUAUAUCAUAUGGCAUACCACACCGGGAGCGUUUUAUUGUCGUCAGAGAACCAAGUGGCACACUACGCAAAGCCUCUUGGGAAGAAUGGGACCGAAUGAUACAAGUUUAUUUCCCAAAAGAAGGUCGUAAAAUUUUGACACCAAUAAUUUUCAAGGAAGAAAAUCUUAGGACUAUGUAUAGCCAGGACAGGCAUGUUGAUGUCCUCAAUCUCUGCUUUGCCCAGUUUGAGCCAGAUUCCACUGAGUAUAUCAAGGUUCAUCACAAGACCUAUGAAGAUAUAGAUAAAUGUAGAAAAUAUGACCUUUUACAUUCAACAAGAUACUUUGGUGGAAUGGUGUGGUAUUUUGUAAAUAAUAAAAAGAUUGAUGGUUUGCUGAUUGACCAGAUUCAGAGAGAUUUAAUCGAUGAUGCAACCAACUUGGUCCAGCUGUGUCACAUGCUCCAUCCAGACGGCCAGUCGGCUCAAGAGGCCAAGGAUCAGGCUGCUGAGGGAAUAAAUUUAAUCAAGAUCUUUGCAAAAACAGAAGCACAGAAGGGAGCCUAUAUAGAACUAACACUGCAAACUUAUCAAGAAGCACUCAGUCGCCAUUCUGCAGCUUCCUAAAAUAUUUUUAAAAUACAUUUAUUUUACUAAAAAAA